rnacentral:rRNA from 1 species
AUUGAACGCUGGCGGCAGGCCUAACACAUGCAAGUCGAGCGGAUGAAGGGAGCUUGCUCCUGGAUUCAGCGGCGGACGGGUGAGUAAUGCCUAGGAAUCUGCCUGGUAGUGGGGGAUAACGUCCGGAAACGGGCGCUAAUACCGCAUACGUCCUGAGGGAGAAAUUGGGGGAUCUUCGGACCUCACGCUAUCAGAUGAGCCUAGGUCGGAUUAGCUAGUUGGUGGGGUAAAGGCCUACCAAGGCGACGAUCCGUAACUGGUCUGAGAGGAUGAUCAGUCACACUGGAAGUGAGACACGGUCCAGACACCUACGGGAGGCAGCAGUGGGGAAUAUUGGACGAUGGGCGAAAGCCUGAUCCAGCCAUGCCGCGUGUGUGAAGAAGGUCUUCGGAUUGGAAAGCACUUUAAGUUGGGAGGAAGGGCAGUAAGUUAAUACCUGGCUGUUUUGACGUUACCAACAGAAUAAGCACCGGCUAACUUCGUG